UACAGAGGUCUCAAGCGUUGUUCGGAUUCAUUGGGCGUAAAGGGUGCGUAGGCGGCGCGGUAAGUCUGGUGUGAAAUCUCGGAGCUCAACGUCCGAAAUUGCACUGGAUACUGCUCUGCUUGAGGACUGGAGAGGAGAUUGGAAUUCACGGUGUAGCAGUGAAAUGCGCAGAUAUCAGGAAGAACACCCGUGGCGAAGGCGGCUCCUCUGGGGACGGUACUGACGCUGAGACACGAAAGCGUGGGGAGCGAACAGG
rnacentral:rRNA from 1 species